AGUUUAAUGACAGUACUGAGCCAGCUUUAACUGUUGUCUUGUCAGCAAGCACAAGGUUAUACACUGGAAGACUACUUUUGAGGAGGAGGUCAAAUCUGAAAAGGAAGAACAUCACCAAAGUGUAUUGUAGUCAGAAGGUGAUUGAUAGAGGCAAAAUAAUUCAGCUGAGAUGUGCAGCCCAUUUCCUUGGCAUGACUGUGAACUGGAGCUGAAACUUCCCGGAGGCAUCCUUGCUCAGGACCACUUGCUGAUGUUCAUCUGCAUUGCAUCACUCUGAAACCAAGAGCAGCUGCACUGCUUACUGUAAGCACAUCUGGAAACAGGAGCUGUGUGUUUUGCCCAGACAAUCGUGAAAAUAAAACUCAGAGUUUGAAGGUUUAUGUUUAUUUU
ensembl:lncRNA